UACUGGCGUUAUUGGUUCCUCCCUUCUGAAGAACCACGAUGUCAUUAAUUUGGUGUCGCGGGGAAUCAGGACUGUUACUUUGAAAAAAUUAGAGUGUUUAAAGCAGGCUCGCGCUUGAAUACAUUAGCAUGGAAUAAUGAAAUAGGACGUUUGAUUCUAUUUUGUUGGUUUCUAGGAUCGACGUAAUGAUUAAUAGGGAUAGUUGGGA
rnacentral:rRNA from 1 species